GGGCGAUUAGCUCAGUUGGUAGAGCAGUUCAUUUACACUGAAAAGGUCGGGGGUUCAAAUCCCUCAUCGCCCA
rnacentral:tRNA from 2 species